CACAAGUCUAUUUUUCCUGAAUGUGUCAGACAUAUCAAGCUCCAGUGCUGGUUUCUGAAGAUAAUAAUCUUUCUUUUGUGAAGCGUGGAAAGUCAAAACCCUGGGGAGCAAACCAUUGGAGGGUCAUUGGUACCAAGAGUAAUGGUCACUAAUGGCCAAAUGGAGAUCAGUACAGGCAGCGACAGCAGCAGCAACACAACGAAGGAAAGUGAACCUGGGGGUGAACGGCAGGAUAAAUACCUGAGGAGCAGGCUCAGUCAGAGCGAACCUGGAGCCUCAGUAGCAAAAUAAUGAAGUAACUACAGAGUUAGAUCAGAAACCUGGCCAGUGAGUACAGCCACUCUGUUAUCAGUGCUGGAGAAUGAGUUCGACCAGCUCUAUUGCCGAGAAGCAGAAAAGCUACGCUGGAGAAAUUUUGAAAGCCUUGAAGACAUAUUUUGAACCCUCCACUAAUGUUACUUAUAAAUGGUACUUGUUCAACACUAAAGCUAGAGGGGAGAUGGAGAACAUGAUUAAGUAUU